UACGAAGGGGGCAAGCGUUGUUCGGAAUUACUGGGCGUAAAGAGCGUGUAGGCGGCCAAGUAAGUUAGGUGUGAAAUCCCUGGGCUUAACCCAGGAACUGCACUUAAGACUGCAUGGCUAGAGUGCGAGAGGGAGAGACGGAAUGGCGAGUGGAGCAGUGAAAUGCGUUGAUAUUCGCUGGAACACCGGAGGCGAAGGCGGUCUCUUGGUUCGCAACUGACGCUGAGACGCGAAAGCGUGGGGAGCAAACAGG
rnacentral:rRNA from 1 species